rnacentral:rRNA from 1 species
UACGUAGGGGGCAAGCGUUGUCCGGAAUUAUUGGGCGUAAAGAGCGCGUAGGCGGUCCGAUAAGUCGGCUGUGAAAGUCAGGGGCUCAACCCUUGAAAGCCGGCCGAUACUGUCGGACUAGAGUCCGGAAGAGGCAAGUGGAAUUCCCGGUGUAGCGGUGAAAUGCGCAGAUAUCGGGAGGAACACCAAUGGCGAAGGCGACUUUCUGGCCUGUUCUUGACGCUGAGGCGCGAAAGCUAGGGGAGCAAACAGG